rnacentral:rRNA from 1 species
UACGAGGGGGGCAAGCGUUGUUCGGAAUUACUGGGCGUAAAGAGUGUGUAGGCGGUUCUCUAAGUUCGGUGUGAAAUCUCCUGGCUCAACUGGGAGGGUGCGCCGGAAACUGGAGUGCUUGAGCGUGGGAGAGGAAAGCGGAAUUCCUGGUGUAGCGGUGAAAUGCGUAGAUAUCAGGAGGAACACCUGUGGUGUAGACGGCUUUCUGGACCAUAGCUGACGCUGAGACACGAAAGCGUGGGUAGCAAACAGG